rnacentral:rRNA from 2 species
GGGGAAUAUUGCACAAUGGGGGAAACCCUGAUGCAGCAACGCCGCGUGAAGGAUGAAGGUUUUCGGAUUGUAAACUUCUUUAGUCAGGGACGAAUAAAUGACGGUACCCAAGGAGGAAGCCACGGCUAACUACGUGCCAGCAGCCGCGGUAAUACGUAGGUGGCAAGCGUUGUCCGGAUUUACUGGGCGUAAAGAGUAUGUAGGCGGACAUUUAAGUCAGAUGUGAAAUCCCCGGGCUUAACCUGGGAGCUGCAUUUGAUACUGGGUGUCUAGAGUGUAGGAGAGGAAAGUGGAAUUCCUAGUGUAGCGGUGAAAUGCGUAGAGAUUAGGAAGAACACCAGUGGCGAAGGCGACUUUCUGGACUAUAACUGACGCUGAGAUACGAAAGCGUGGGGAGCAAACA